UACGUAGGGGGCUAGCGUUGUCCGGAUUUAUUGGGCGUAAAGAGCGUGUAGGCGGCCAGGUAGGUCUGCUGUGAAAACUCGAGGCUCAACCUCGAGACGUCGGCGGAAACCAUCUGGCUAGAGUCCGGAAGAGGAGAGUGGAAUUCCUGGUGUAGUGGUGAAAUGCGUAGAUAUCGGGAGGAACACCAGUGGCGAAGGCGACUACCUGGCCUGUUCUUGACGCUGAGGCGCGAAAGCUAGGGGAGCAAACGGG
rnacentral:rRNA from 1 species